AACACAUGCAAGUCGAGCGGUAACACAGGGAGCUUGCUCCUGGGUGACGAGCGGCGGACGGGUGAGUAAUGUCUGGGAAACUGCCUGAUGGAGGGGGAUAACUACUGGAAACGGUAGCUAAUACCGCAUAAUGUCGCAAGACCAAAGAGGGGGACCUUCGGGCCUCUUGCCAUCAGAUGUGCCCAGAUGGGAUUAGCUAGUAGGUGGGGUAACGGCUCACCUAGGCGACGAUCCCUAGCUGGUCUGAGAGGAUGACCAGCCACACUGGAACUGAGACACGGUCCAGACUCCUACGGGAGGCAGCAGUGGGGAAUAUUGCACAAUGGGCGCAAGCCUGAUGCAGCCAUGCCGCGUGUAUGAAGAAGGCCUUCGGGUUGUAAAGUACUUUCAGCGGGGAGGAAGGUGUUGUGGUUAAUAACCUCAGCAAUUGACGUUACCCGCAGAAGAAGCACCGGCUAACUCCGUGCCAGCAGCCGCGGUAAUACGGAGGGUGCAAGCGUUAAUCGGAAUUACUGGGCGUAAAGCGCACGCAGGCGGUCUGUCAAGUCGGAUGUGAAAUCCCCGGGCUCAACCUGGGAACUGCAUUCGAAACUGGCAGGCUAGAGUCUUGUAGAGGGGGGUAGAAUUCCAGGUGUAGCGGUGAAAUGCGUAGAGAUCUGGAGGAAUACCGGUGGCGAAGGCGGCCCCCUGGACAAAGACUGACGCUCAGGUGCGAAAGCGUGGGGAGCAAACAGGAUUAGAUACCCUGGUAGUCCACGCCGUAAACGAUGUCGACUUGGAGGUUGUGCCCUUGAGGCGUGGCUUCCGGAGCUAACGCGUUAAGUCGACCGCCUGGGGAGUACGGCCGCAAGGUUAAAACUCAAAUGAAUUGACGGGGGCCCGCACAAGCGGUGGAGCAUGUGAUUUAAUUCGAUGCAACGCGAAGAACCUUACCUACUCUUGACAUCCAGAGAACUUUCCAGAGAUGGAUUGGUGCCUUCGGGAACUCUGAGACAGGUGCUGCAUGGCUGUCGUCAGCUCGUGUUGUGAAAUGUUGGGUUAAGUCCCGCAACGAGCGCAACCCUUAUCCUUUGUUGCCAGCGGUCCGGCCGGGAACUCAAAGGAGACUGCCAGUGAUAAACUGGAGGAA
rnacentral:rRNA from 1 species